rnacentral:tRNA from 1 species
ACAUUGGUCAUUAAGUGGUAGAAUACUUGUCUUCCAUGCAGGAGACCUGGAUUUGAUUCUCAAUCAAUGCA